UGGGGUCAGGACUUGGAUAUAUUUAUUACUGGUUUCCUACUGAUUUUAAUUAUAGAAAGUCAGGGAGUGAUGUUGAGGCUAUGUUGUCAUUCUCUUUUGUGAUGAUGCAGCAUUGUGGUCAUGCAAAAAUUGGGCAAAAGUGAGUAAGUUAAGGCAAAAUACAGAGGUCCUUGCAUUGUAUCGUCGUACCGAGGUGUGGGAUCGCCACUUAUAAAAAAAAAUAAAAAAAUUGCAGAAAUUACCUUGAUUAAAAUCACCUUUCCUUUUCACCAAGCCCUAAAUUCACCUCCUUCACCAACCCGAUACCCCAACAUCCAUAGCCGACCCUCACCUCCAAAUCACCACCACCUUCUACAUCUCUGACCACCCUAACAAGAUCACCAGUCGCACCACCAAGCUCUUCCUCCCUGAAACCGUACCCCAACCCACAAACCCACAAGCCCACCUCACCCUUGAAGAUGAAGCCACCUCUCGCUUACCCACCUGAACGACGAACCCAGCCCCACAGUUUCGCAGCAACGCAAAUUAUCGCAUGACUUGGUUCUUCCACCAACACCAAGGCCCGAUUUCUCAAGUCCUUACCUUUCUCUCUCUCUCUCUCUCAUGCAAGAACCUAUCUGAGGUGCAUUUGUAUUGCUUGUGAGAUGAUUGGUAAUGCUUUGGACAUUUUGAGAAGGAUUUGAAGCUUGAAGCGAAUCAUGAUUUCGGGAUGCUGCAGGAUGGAAGCAGCAUUAUGUUCUGCAUACCAGCUAUUUCAAAGACCCACGUGGGAGUCUAAAUGAAUAUCCUAUCCAAACCUGUUUUUUUCUUUGGACCUAUUUGAGUUGGGCUGAAAGGUAAUUAAAUGACUUUUGAGCCUUUAUUUUACUUGGGUCCAUUUUGCUUAAAAAAAAAAUAAGGAAAGAAAGGAGUUUGAGAAGGGAGGCUUGCGUGGGUAAUGAAGGGGAAUGACCUAGUGACUGAUUAUCAUCUUUCCCCAAUUUGGAAGACACAGACAGAGACACGAACAAAGAGCAAAAAGAGAGCAGCCGCCUAGUUCAAGAAGAAAUCGCCAUUUUUGGAGAGGUUUAAUUGUGAAAAGUAAGGGGAUAAGGCUAUGAGACGAGCUACUUGGAGACAUCCUAUUGGCUGGGCAUUCUUACCUUACUUUCUUAGUUUUUUCUUACAUUCUCUUAAUUUCUUGAUUAUGUGCUAUUAUUAUUUUGGUGUAUUUCAAUUCUUAACCAUGAACCAACUUUUUAAUAGCUAGGAUAGUUGAAGAACUCUAUUAUGUAACUUUUGGGUACUUUGCUAAGUAAUGCUAAAUGCUAAUUGUGGUUCAUUCAUUCAAGUGUGUUUCAUGUUUAAUUCUUGCUUUUGAUUGAUCACCAUUAGUAAGCAAAUGAAUUGAUUAUGGCUGCUGAAAAGAGUAGUCAACGAUGGACCUAAAACUUGAUUGAUGCAAGAUUGAAUAUUUUUAAUUUUAAUUUUGUAAAGGUAUAGAAAUAUAUUUUUGCCUUGCAUAAUCUUGAAAAAUUUAUGCUUGAAUAUAGAUUCUUGAAAUUAAAAUUUACAUAGGCGUAUGUUAGUUUGAUUAGAGAAUUAAAACCAUAAUGAUUUCGACAGAAACUUAUGGAAAUUGAUUAGAAUUCUUGAUUACUGAACUGCCAGUUUGCCACAGCAUUGGCGUAGCAUUGUUGCCAGAUUUUGCAUAAUAGAGGGAUUUAAUUAUCCUAGUUUGCCAUUCCAUCAUUGUUAAUCUUUGUUAAUUCAUUUUAAUUUGUGUUUGAUACUUUUGAGUUUUAAUUUAGUUUCUCAUUAUUUUAAAUUGCAUUCUCAAAGAUUCAGUUAAUUGAAACCAUUUUGUGGAUUUUUAUUUUCGCUAUUUGUGAAUUGGCAAUCCUUGAUGAACGAUAUCUGGUACUUGCUACUGUAUUACUUGUUGUUGACAGUGUAUACUUACACUUAGUUUUAUUUUACGCAACACCUCUCUUCUCACCAUUUCCCUGUCGCUCUGCCUAUUCUUCUCCUUCUAUGCACACGGAGGUGCUUCUCCUCGGCGCACAACAGAGGCACUCGGACUCUUCUCCUCGGCGCACGGGCAGCUUUGAUGGCCUAGAACAGAGGCACUCGUCACAUAAGCACUCCCAGGUUCUCCUCUGUCACAAAUGGUAGACAUACUUUGGAUCUUUAGGUGGUGUGGUGGGAAGAAGAUAUACACAUGAGAAGUCAAAUGAGUUUUGAAAUUACUAGGCAGCCAAGCUUCUUGAGCAGAUGAGUUGUGACUAGGGUAUCUCUAGAUUAGAUGUUUGAUCAAAAAUAUAAUUUAGUAUAUUUUGUUGUGUAAUUUUGAGUAUGAUUUCUCUAUAUGAGUUUUAUUUUGGCCAAUUAAUAAAGAUGUAUAUUUAGAGUUUGUAUAUGAUUUUUUGGUUUGAAAUUAUAUUAUG